rnacentral:rRNA from 1 species
AUUGAACGCUGGCGGCAUGCUUUACACAUGCAAGUCGAACGGUGACAGGGAGCUUGCUCCGCUGACGAGUGGCGAACGGGUGAGUAAUGCGUCGGAACGUGCCGUGUAGUGGGGGAUAACGCAGCGAAAGUUGUGCUAAUACCGCAUACGUACUGAGGUAGAAAGUGGGGGACCUUCGGGCCUCACGCUAUUCGAGCGGCCGACGUCUGAUUAGCUAGUAGGUGAGGUAAAGGCUCACCUAGGCGACGAUCAGUAGCGGGUCUGAGAGGAUGAUCCGCCACACUGGGACUGAGACACGGCCCAGACUCCGACGGGAGGCAGCAGUGGGGAAUUUUGGACAAUGGGCGAAAGCCUGAUCCAGCCAUGCCGCGUGUCUGAAGAAGACCUUCGGGUUGUAAAGGACUUUUGUCGGGGAGGAAAUCCCCAGCGCUAAUACCGCUGGGGGAUGACAGUACCUGAAGAAUAAGCACCGGCUAACUACGUGCCAGCAGCCGCGGUAAAAC